rnacentral:rRNA from 1 species
CAGAUAAGGAGCUUGCUCCUUUGACGUUAGCGGCGGACGGGUGAGUAACACGUGGGUAACCUACCUAUAAGACUGGGAUAACUUCGGGAAACCGGAGCUAAUACCGGAUAACAUUUGGAACCGCAUGGUUCUAAAGUGAAAGAUGGUUUUGCUAUCACUUAUAGAUGGACCCGCGCCGUAUUAGCUAGUUGGUAAGGUAACGGCUUACCAAGGCGACGAUACGUAGCCGACCUGAGAGGGUGAUCGGCCACACUGGAACUGAGACACGGUCCAGACUCCUACGGGAGGCAGCAGUAGGGAAUCUUCCGCAAUGGGCGAAAGCCUGACGGAGCAACGCCGCGUGAGUGAUGAAGGGUUUCGGCUCGUAAAACUCUGUUAUUAGGGAAGAACAAAUGUGUAAGUAACUGUGCACGUCUUGACGGUACCUAAUCAGAAAGCCACGGCUAACUACGUGCCAGCAGCCGCGGUAAUACGUAGGUGGCAAGCGUUAUCCGGAAUUAUUGGGCGUAAAGCGCGCGUAGGCGGUUUCUUAAGUCUGAUGUGAAAGCCCACGGCUCAACCGUGGAGGGUCAUUGGAAACUGGGAAACUUGAGUGCAGAAGAGGAAAGUGGAAUUCCAUGUGUAGCGGUGAAAUGCGCAGAGAUAUGGAGGAACACCAGUGGCGAAGGCGACUUUCUGGUCUGUAACUGACGCUGAUGUGCGAAAGCGUGGGGAUCAAACAGGAUUAGAUACCCUGGUAGUCCACGCCGUAAACGAUGAGUGCUAAGUGUUAGGGGGUUUCCGCCCCUUAGUGCUGCAGCUAACGCAUUAAGCACUCCGCCUGGGGAGUACGACCGCAAGGUUGAAACUCAAAGGAAUUGACGGGGACCCGCACAAGCGGUGGAGCAUGUGGUUUAAUUCGAAGCAACGCGAAGAACCUUACCAAAUCUUGACAUCCUUUGAAAACUCUAGAGAUAGAGCUUUCCCCUUCGGGGGACAAAGUGACAGGUGGUGCAUGGUUGUCGUCAGCUCGUGUCGUGAGAUGUUGGGUUAAGUCCCGCAACGAGCGCAACCCUUAAGCUUAGUUGCCAUCAUUAAGUUGGGCACUCUAGGUUGACUGCCGGUGACAAACCGGAGGAAGGUGGGGAUGACGUCAAAUCAUCAUGCCCCUUAUGAUUUGGGCUACACACGUGCUACAAUGGACAAUACAAAGGGCAGCUAAACCGCGAGGUCAUGCAAAUCCCAUAAAGUUGUUCUCAGUUCGGAUUGUAGUCUGCAACUCGACUACAUGAAGCUGGAAUCGCUAGUAAUCGUAGAUCAGCAUGCUACGGUGAAUACGUUCCCGGGUCUUGUACACACCGCCCGUCACACCACGAGAGUUUGUAACACCCGAAGCCGGUGGAGUAACCAUUUAUGGAGCU